ACACCUGUUAAGGACUUGAUAAAAGGCAGUGUUGGCUAUAUCAGCCCUUCUGGGGCAGAUAAUGAGCCAUUUUGUGGCUCUGAGUUGCUGAUUUCUCAUUGCUUGUGCUGGCUGCAGCUUCAUGAGAGAGGGGACGAGAUCUCAUGUUGUAAGCAUUUGACAACUGAUUGAAUGAGAAGGUUGAAGCUAAUGUGUGAUAUGAAUUAUAUGGCAGUGGCCCUAGGAACAUAUCAAAGAAAUCCUGAAAUAAAAGGAACUCCCCAGUCCUGCUCCUGUCAUUAGUUUCACCUAUUAAGGGAUGAACCUGGAGCUAUUUGGAAGCAUGCCAGCCACAACACAAAACAUGUAUGGGAAAGGACUGAAUUCAGAUCUCUCAAGUACCAAUCCGGUGACUUAACUAUAAAGCAGACUUCCUUUUCAUUAAUAUAAAGAGUGCUCUGAAUGUGCCUCAGUCUAUUUAAGGGAUCCAAGGGCAAGAUACUUAGCUUCUCAGUCUGUUUACUUCUGCAAUACAUGGUACAGUAAAGACAUCUAACUGGAAUAUUAAGAGAUCUAUGGUGAUUAGUAAACCUAUUUGAGACAUCUGGAUGCCAUAUCCCAAGUAAUGAUGUAACAGUUGUAUCUUCGAUCAAGAAUACUUCUAUAGGUGUCUUAUUGUAUGUAGGAAGUCUUAAAAUGGACUGGACAGCAGAGCUGAUUGUUGAAGACCUUUGUUUCAUAAAUCAACAAGUCAAAAGUUGUAUUAACAACUAAGUUGAAUUUCUAUUAACCAAAGAGAGAUUUUAAAUGCCUUUAGUCAUAUGAAAACAAGCACUUCUACAGAAA